CUUAAUGAAUGUGGUGUUGUCUGAGGGGAGGAAACCAAGUAACAACUCAACAGAGAAACAGACAUGAGUUUCUAAAACGUUUCGGCGGAGGACACGUUUAAGAUGAUAAGAUGAUAAGAUAAAACGAAAAGACAGAAGCGAAAGCUAAAGCUAAUAGCAUCAAAGUCAAUCAAACACAGCAUAGCAUAGAAGUGCUACCGCCAGGUGAUAAAGCGCUAACACUAGUUUAAUGGUCUGCUAGUGUUUUCUCCACACUUUUUUUCUUUGCAACGGAACCUUUUUUCUAAGUCUGAAACGUCAGCUCGAAGGUCUUCAGAAAAGCACACGGUGGGACAGGAGGACAAGACACUCCACUCCAACUACCGAAACUAACGGGAAAAAGAGGACCAGUGAAAUGGUUUCAAAUCAGAGACACUGACAUUGCAGACUGUUCCUCUCUUCCAGCUGACUGGGAAGCUGCAGAGGGCGAGAGCUGCAUGUAAAAAGGUCCAAUAAUAUGAGGCGUAGUCGCCUCAUUACCGGCCGCUUCAUUUCCUCUCUCUGUCUCGUCGGGGCCCACUCAGGAGGAGAUGAAUGGCUCCCUCGGCCCCCUUGGGAAUGCGACCACUGAUGCCCCGCCGCAUUCCUCGAUUCCCAGCAUCCCUCUGCUGUUUCUACGGAAACACCACCAGCAG
ensembl:lncRNA